UACCAGCUCUCCGAGUGGUGUGGAUGUUUAUUGGGCCUAAAGCAUCCGUAGCUGGCUGGGCAAGUCCCCUGUUAAAUCCACCGAUUUAAUCGUUGGUGUGCGGGGGAUACUGUUCGGCUAGGGGACGGGAGAGGCCGACGGUAUUUUUCGGGGUAGGGGUGAAAUCCUAUAAUCCCGGGAAGACCACCAGUGGCGAAGGCUGUCGGCUAGAACGCGCCCGACGGUGAGGGAUGAAAGCUGAGGGAGCGAACCGGAUUAGAUACCCGGGUAGUCCCAGCUGUAAACGAUGCAGGCUAGGUGUUUGGGCGGCCACGAGCCGCUCUAGUGCCGCAGGGAAGCCGUUAAGCCUGCCGCCUGGGGAGUACGGCCGCAAGGCUGAAACUUAAAGGAAUUGGCGGGGGAGCACCACAAGGGUGAGACUUGCGGUUUA
rnacentral:rRNA from 1 species